GCGGAGGGGGGAAGCGAGAUGGAGGCGCUCCGGGACCUCUCUCUGCACUUGACGUGAGGCUGCGGCGGGUCCGCCUCAGCCCCGGCGCCGGGCUUCCCUCUGCGGGAGGGAGCGAGAGAGCAGCGGGGGCCGCGCACCGCCGCUCCCCAGGCCCGCGCUCUCUCUCGUCGCCUUCUCGCUCGUCGCCUUUUUCUUUUUUUCCCCUAACCGACCGACACGGAGAGCUCCGAGCUGCCGGGCUCGCUCAGACCGUCAUGGCUACGAGAAGUGCGCUGCCGGUCAGAAACACGCGAUCCCGGGGCUGCCGGCUGAGCGCCGAGCGGUGCGUGAGGCACCGCACGCUGAUACCGCGCCCGUUCGCGGCUGCUCGCGCCGAGGCUCCGAGGCUCGGGAUCACUCGAGAGCCAACUCUUUUUUUUUUCUUUCUUUUUUUUUUUUUUUUCAAAGCAAGUUCUUAGCAAAAAAAAAAAAAAAAAAAGGAAUCGGUCGUUCCUCACAUCUUGUUUUCUUUUCCUUUUUUUUUUUUUCCUUUUUUUUUUUUUUUUUUUUGAAAGGGAGAAAAUAGAACUGAUUGGCCGUAUAUUUACACUUUCAGGCUUAGCUGAUUAAAACUGCCCUGAGUGAAGUUUUCAAUGAGCAUCGAAAGGAAUGGCAGCCAACGGCUUGGAGGUUUUCUUUUCUUUUUUUUUUUCUUUUUUUUUUUUUUUCUUUUUGCCCACGAAAGCAGCAUUUUGUGGUAGAAAUAGCAAUGAGAGCACUGAAAAAAAUACAUAAAAAAUACAGCGUUGCCGAUACCACUCGUCUGUAUUUAGAUUACGUAUCGUUCUGCCCUAAAGCAACUCUAGUUGCUAUUUUUCACCCAUUUUUUUUUCCCAACUAUGAUGCAGAAAUAAGACCUAGCAGAUAGGAUGUCAGCCUCUUUGCCAGGAUGUGGUAUUCUCUUAUACGAAUCACACUGUUGUCCUCUCGAAUGGCAUUUCUGAGGUCUCAUUAAGGAUUUCUAAAGGCAGUGAAGUUUCUGCACCGCCGCUAUCCCAUCCGUGCUCGCAGACACACACAGGCCCAAUCCUGCGUGUGGUUCUGUGCUUCGUUAUGGCCCUGUUCAGACCGAAGCUGGAAGUCGUAUUACACAAUCACUGCUCUCAGUAUUACUUAGGGCUGCACGAAGCGUAAACCCAAUGCAAUAGUCUCGGUUUGCAUCACCCACUUCGUAUCGCUGGGGUUUAAGCUAAAUAAUGCACAAUUGCCAUAAUUUUAGGAUCAGGGUGGUUAAAUAUUUGACGGCGAGGAAGGGCAGCCGCUCUCGUCUAACAGCCCCUGCAAUAGGAGGUGGGUAUUGCACUCUCUGGCUGCAGCAUCUGGGAGAGGAUUGUCAGCUUGUUUCCUCAGUGACUGGCAAAGCCAAGGAGUCACAGCAGGAGCACAGCUGAGGACAGAAGGCAGGGGAGAGGGAUUUUGAGCCUCAACAAAAGCGAUGUCAGUUCUUUAGAUCAGAUUUCCGUUCCAGAUAACGUGGGCUCAUCAGAACGGUGGAAGUCCUAUCUGCUGUGGCAGCUAAGAGAGGGUAGAGCUGCAGUUUCUGUGCUGCACUCCUUUCCUUGCACCUUUCCUCGCUGAAGCACUACCUGCACGCCGCCAAUCCCCCCACUGUAGGCACUUCUCCUCACAGGGUGUCAUUACGUUCUCAGAGAAUCUUCCACUGCUGUAACAUGUGACAUGGCCAGCAUUUGUCAUGUUAUCUGCUCUCCUGUUGCCAGGGGGAGGAGCAUGUGCAGUUGAAUGUUUUGAGUUUUAUCUGCCUUUUUUGUUUUUUUUUUUUUUUCUUUUUCUUCAAUAUAUGUGUUGUGUGUUUACAGUAGUGAGGCAAGGUCAAAGUCAUGUAUUUUGUUCUCCAAGCACUACGUGGUUGGUUGGGCUCCUGAUGGCCCUUAGCUCCUGGGCGUAUUCAUCCCAUAGACUUGCUCCAGCCCCUGAGAAAAGUGUAUCUGUAGAAAUGUUAGCUUUUUUCCCCUACUUGUGUAAAUUCUCUUGUGUCAGGUGAGAGAAACUGCCGACACGAGGCUGUAGUCUGGAGACCCAGGCAUUUCUUUGGGAAACCUGGAUUUAGGCCCCGGGAGGAUCUGGAGACCCCAAAUCUGUCAUUUAAAGUUCUAUAGAAAAUCAGUAUUAAGUGGAAGAGAGGGACUCAUAUUCACCUACCCCACUGAGAUGACAUUCCCCCCGGCUUCCUAUACUUGGGAGUUCCCUAUAUGGAUCAAGAAUCACACUUGGGUAUCCCAAACGGCCGGGGUCUGUCUGCAAGGUGGCACAACCAAAGCAAGGUACUGAUCUCCCAGAAUGGCCCAGGAGCUCCCAGCUCGUCAGGGAUGGUUAGAAAGCUGGAGGCUGUCUUUUGACUCAGGCACGCAUUACUUUGCAAAUUACCUUGCUAUGUGUUUUUAAGAUUUAUUUUACAACCGUGAGGAUUAGAGGAAUUUGUCGUAAUGAAAACUGGCAUUGUGUCACUACUGUGUAACUGUGUAGCUGGAUUCUUUGGUCUGCCUGGGUACUUGCAUAUUAUUCCACUCUCUACUGGUCCAGCUCCUAAGUGAGUUACACCAAAUGGAGGCCAACAAGGUAUACCCAACGUGGAGCAAUUAUAAUAACGUGCACAUCUACAUAUUAUUUGGGUUCCCUGUUUUGGUAUGGCAUAUGUGUGCAUGGCCAGUGGAAAUUCCAACUUUUUUUUUUUUUUUUGUAUUUAUUUUUCUAAUUUAAGCCCUGCCUUGCUUUUGGUGCUUAUCCAGCCUUCUUUGCUGGAUCCCCGUUAGAGAUUCACCAAGGCCUCUCCUCAGACCUCUUCUGAAAGUUUGCUAUCAGUUGAAGUUUCUGCUUAAUAAUCUACUCUAAUAAUCAAGUGUAUUCAACAUCUCCUUUCAUUUUUGACUUUUCUGCUUCUUUCUGUGGCCAUUAAGUCUCCAAUUUAUCCUGACAAACAUAGGAUUUGGAAUUCAUUACUUAGGCCAUUUCAGGUUGUCACGUAGCAAGGACUGAAGUGCGCCUGAAAACUAAGUUCUGAAUUUGCCAGCUGAGAGCUGAUCUAGGGAUCCUUCUCUUGGCACCAAGGACUGCAGGAAGUAUUUGCUAGAUUAGGAUGUACACCUGCUUUAUUAAAUUCCCUACAAAAUACUAAGUGGAAAAAAAAAACCCAAACCACCCAUAAACAACCUUUAGCAUAUUUUUGGUGUAGACUACCUGGUUUUUCAACAGCCAACUUUCAAUCUAUUUUUUUUUUCCCCCCAAUAUCUAAGAUGUUUAACACAGCAUAAAGGCAGCUGGUACAAUCCAAAGGCUGGGCUUAACUACGCUUUCCUUCAGUAUUGACUCUAAUACAGCCAUAGGCCUGACCCAUCAUGAACAUAUCCCUGAGGCCUCGGGAAAUACUUGCUAUUAAACUAAGGUUCUGUGGUGAAGUUUUGCUAAAACGGCCUCGCUGUAACUUCUAAACAUUGUAAAAAUUCUUCUGCAUGUUAGUGGUUGUGAAAUGUGCUGGUUCGUUAUCUGUGAAAACUGAAGCCCAUUCUUUAUGGAUUAAUUACAGCAGAGCAGUUGCCAAGUGAUCUUCUCCACAGCACCCACGAACUUUGGCCUUACACUGAAGAGGACUCGUCAAAUGCUUUGGGAGAUACAACACAGAAUUGGAAGAGAAGCAUGGAUCUACCUGAAGGGCAGUUCGCUGCAUUCUUGGUGUGUGGAGGAACGGGUCCCGUGCUCACUGUUGUUACUCCCACAUAGGCGGACUCUGUAACUGAUUAUAUGUGGGUAGGGCCCUAUUGAAAUUAAGGAGAUUCUGCAGUAGUGCGGGGUUCUGUUUGUGUGACCCUACUGUGCCUUCUUACUGUGAAUUCUGUCAGUGUAUCAUGGGUUGUGCUGGAACCUGCCUUUUGGGAUAAUGUAAGUUCUGCCUUUCCCCCAAAUGUACUUUAGACGUGAAAUAAUCAUUAAAAAAAAAGUUUUGAAUUAGAAAAUAAAUAUAAUUUACAUGCGUUCUUUUAAUUAUGUUUUUUUGGCAGUACCAAAUAAUAUAUUCCUCAAAACUUCUUAAUGGCACUGAGGCUUUGUGGAUAGUUGGUCACAUGAUGAGAAAAUUCAGCUAUCAUGGACAAGGAUAAAAGUUCACCUAUUUGUGCAAGCAGCGCUGGCACCCUGACUGCACUAUGUGACCCUCCACAUAGGAGGCUGUGUGCCUUCAUUCCAGCACCAGCAAUGCACUUUACCCUUGACUUCCAGCUCCAGCACGUGCUCCUCAGGUAUGUAUAGCUUUGUUGUUAUUACGGGGAAAUAUACUGCAUUCAAAACACAUGUAGUUUCUUUUAAGUCAUAAAUAGAUAACUAGAGUGUAUUACUUUACAGAGUAUCUGAAACAGUCUGAUUCCUAAGCAAAACCAGAACUUUGAUGAUCGAUUUUACUUUCUGUGGUUAGCAGCCUAUUCUUGCUGUGAUAAGUGAAGUCUGAUAGUAAUAAAAAUGAAACCUAGUAUCUGUGCUGUCAUAAUGGAACCCCAAAGUGAAAUUAGUUAGUGAUAUUAGAAAGCAUCGCUUGUAGUUUUGCUCCAAACCUCAAUUUAUUUUAUCGUCCUGUACUCAAAAACAACAUUAAAGAACAUGUAUGGAUCACGUUACUGACAUUCAUGGCCUCGAUCAUAAAGUGAAUCAUUCACAUAUAUGCUUUUGGUAGAACAUAAAAUACGUGAUGCAGAAGAGCAAGGAUACUGGAGGGAUGAGGAUCAUUUGCCUGUUCAGAAUCCUGACAGAGUUCAUUCUGCUCAGAAUCCUGAUGAGCACGUCUGUUCUUUCUAAGAAACUCAAUCUGAAGGAAAAUGAGAAAAGCCUUUAAUUAUAUUUAUUACCGUGAUAAACAGUAAAAACGCAGAUCUGUUCGCUGCUUGACAAUGUCUGUGUUCAUCUCUAACAAUAGUUAAAGUCUUCAAAUUGAAGUGCUCAUUUUGCAGCGAUAGUUCUUGUAUUUGGUCUGUGGCAGCAAAGACUGUGAAUAUGUGAAAAUGGGUAUUUUUUGUACCUUCAUUCAAACGGUGUGAGAAACUUCUCAAUUAUUAGUAACAGCUGUAUUAAAAACGUGAAUAGCAGACAGAGACUCAAAUGAUUUCUGCUUAGUUAACCUCCCAAAGAGGAAGGCUUAAGUAAGAAAGUAAGAGAAGAAGCAACCUUUCACUUUGUAGACCUGUCUUGUUAUCCUGCUCUAGAACCAGGGAGCUCCAGUGUAACAUUCCUCUUUUGCAUGGCACGUGAGUCAUCUAGACUGGACCAGGACUUGGUUUAAGGAGUUUCUGAAGUAGGAGACAUCUACUUAAGUUAUUUGAGAACCGACUUAGAAGAAGACCACUAUAGUCUCAAAGCCUUUAGAACACAAAGCAGUCCAGACAAAGAUUGUUGUCAAUUUGAUGUAUGUAAUUUUAGGAGUCUUAUUUACCAACAGUAACUGACUGCAUUAUAAGUUUGUUUGCAACGGGCAAAGUAUGCCCUAUGUUAGAAUUGCCACAGCGCUCUGGAACAAGAAUAUAAACUACAUACUAUUGCUCCUUUAUAUUAAUAUAGUUUAGAAGAAAACCAGUUUUCUUCAGAGAAGCUAUGGGAAAAACAUGUCUAGCAAAUACCUUCAGAAUGUUUAAUUCACACUUCUUAGUUUUUCUCAUGAAAACUAAAGUAGUAGCUUAUGAUCCAAGAUGUUUCAUGAAGAGAGAAUGAUGUGAGCUGUGAAUGAUGAAUCGAACAAAUUGAGAAAAAUGAGAAACUACUAAGGCUUCUUUUACUUCAAAUCAAAAUCUAAGUUUGUCCACUUCUCAGAGCUUGCUUUCCAACGUGUGCAUAAAGUCUCUAAUUUUAGUAAUCAAAUACUCACAUUUGUAGUUUGAAGUUAUAAAAUAUUAACUAUAUUUUCAACAUUCCCAUUUAAUAUUUUAUCAACCAGUUAGCAUUAUUUUUUCAGACUAAAGAAAAUAUUUCGUUAACCAGAGGCUAUUUAUUAGGAAGACAAAUGUAGUUUCUCUGCGUGUCUUCAGAGGCCCAAUGUGGCCAUUAAGAAAACCAAUGCCCAGCAAGGUGUCUGUAAUCUACUUCGGAUAAUAUGAUACUCAGGAAAAAAAAACCCUACAGCUCAUAGUAUAGAAUGCUCUAACUGCUAUUUCAAAGGUGCCAAUGAAUGUUGUCACGUAACAACUUUGAAAAUAUUCCUUAUGGAUUAAAUAAGGAUAUUUAGAAGCAGUAAGAAUUACUAAGGGGCAGCUGAGAAGGAAAAGAAUAUACGCUGUUUGAUUGAGUGAGGUAAACAACCAUUCACAGUUAAACUGGAAUGAUGUGAUAGAGAACAGAAGAUUUUUUUAAUCGAAGAUGGGCUGACUGAUACAAGGAGAGUAUACCAAGAGAUUGGUGAGGUGCUGGAACAGGCCUCCGUCCCUGGAGGUGCUCAGGGUCAAACUGGAUGGGGCCCUGUGCAGUCUGGUCUAGCAUUAGAUAUGGAGGUUGGUGGCCUUGCGAGCAGCAGAGGGUUGGAGCUUCAUGAUCCUUGAGGUCCCUUCCAACCCAAGCCGUUCUACGAUUCUGUAUUUCUACAGAGAACGUAUAAUUGGAAGGUGGGAUAGAAUUGGGAAAACAUGGUGUGCAGUUGGUUUGAGUAAUUCUGUCUUAACAGAUUCGGUAUUAUUUUAAAGACAUGGUAAUCCACUUACUUAGCAUAAUCAAAAUUAGACUGAACAAAGUGCUAGAAACUGUACUUCAGAAAGACAGUCCUGUGGCCAAUUUUGAGGAAUAAGUUAAGAGAAGGUCAGAAUUAAGAAAACAUUUUCUCUGGAGUAUUAGAGUUUGUACGUACUUCUGGGCUCUCCCUACUUAUAUUGUGAUACACAGGAACAGUAAUAAAAAGAAGGAUGCUUUCUUGAUGUAGUUUGCAUGCAUGUUAACUUAUGCAGCCUAGCUUUCCAUCUAAGUUGGCCAAAGCACAGAGAAUAACUUUAAUUGCCCAGUUUUUAUGAAGCAUGUGAAUAACUCAGCUAGGGUGCUUUUGGCUUCUUGAGAUCUUGAGUAGAUAGAGUUCAUUGCUGGUGUGUAUGCACCCUGUGAGUACAAGGACAAUUUGGACGAGCAGAGUCUAAUUACUAGACGGUAUCAGUGGAUGACUUGAAGCACCCUCAUGCUCUCUGUCCUUGGGGCAUUAAACAGUGCUGUGAGUACAAACAUUCAUGAUUUCAUUAUUUCCAUCAUACCACAAAGGUGGAAAUAGUGCAAUGUAAGUACUCUGUGAUUCAUUUAACUUUUAUGUGUAAUACUGUAAUUAAUUUCAUGCAAUAAAUUAGGUCUCCUACUGUCUAUUAAGAAAUAUGGCUUGAAUUAAUAUACCACACGUCUCCUUCUAUAGGGAUAAGAGAGUCAUGAGUUACUGGGGUUUAAUAUUUUCCCUAGCAUGAUUCUUCAGAUCCUAUUUAUGACACGAGGAAACAGACAGUAAGGGAAGGAGGGAGGGGAUUUCCCUAGGGGGAAAAAAGAAAUUAAAGAUCAGUUUAUUUCUAAAUUCCAUGAAUAAAGCUACAGUUAUGCUUUAAGGCAGUGUCUCAUAUUAAGUGUCCUAAAAGCUGUGAUUCUGGGCUUCUAGGCCACACUCAUGCCCACAGCUCACCUACAGGCAAGUCGGCUGGAGGACUGCGGUUCCAAGCACAAGCACAUGCACAUAGCAAGGGAUGAAAGAGUAAUCAGCAAUAUGGUAGCUCUUUGAUUUAUGUAUUUUGAAGUCCAGGGCCUGAAAAGAACUAUUUUAUUUUCUUGAUGCUCCCUGCAGGGACCUUGAUAGUGACUGGCUUUGUGUUGAGCGCCUUAUGUAUUUAGAGCCCUGAUAGCAGCGAUCGCCUCUGUAGUGUCUGUGCUGUCCAUAGAGCUGUGUGACUUGCUCUUCCCUUGUGCCUCCUCUAUCCCUUAUUCCCUAAAAAGCUAUCCAGCCAGUCAGAAACAACAAACACCAGAAACAGAUUCCCUUUUACAACAGAUUGCAGGAGCAAAUGUGCCGCCACGGAUUGCUAACAGAAGCUGCUGUACCUACCACUUUCCUUACAGAAGAGGCGAGUGGCUAGCCCUGUGCUGUGAGCCAUCAGUACUGUGACACUUCCGUUUGCUAUUUCAAAUUUGGAUUGGAGUUGGAUCCAUAAUUUCCUCACCAAUCCCUAAUCCUCGAGAUCAACCUGCAAAGUGCCUUAAAUACAGGGGCCCACACAACAGAUUCCUAAUGGGAACACUGGACUGUUCUACAGAGAGCAACCCUUCACAAAUCCUCCUCAUGAAUCAUAUUUGUUUUGUUUUGGUGUUCUUCCUGCCUCAUUCCAAAAAGCAACUGUCUCAGAAGAUAACAAACUGAAGUGUAGUGCCACAACAGGUGACUGACUCAGGUCACACAGGUCAAAAACCGUAGAGUCAAUGGUUCUAGACCUAAAAAAACAGCAAUUCUGAUUUGCAACACUUCGUUAUGGGGUUGCUGAACAGCAACAAGUCAGUUAAAUUCUCUUCCAAGCAUCUGUUAAGCUCACUGAAAGCAUCUUAGCGUUUACAGUCUUUCACUAGACAUACUGUAAUUUGUCUACAUUCUGCACAAAGUUGACCUGUUGCUGCUCAGCACCAAAUCAAAUGGUGUGGCACAUGAAGAAGUCCUCUACUCAUGAAACUUAGGGCAAACCAAUCACGGGUCCUCAGUAUGGUGUCAUCUUCCUACUGGAUAUGCUUGCGGGCUGGAUGAUAGGCCUGUUCUGGGACGGAGAUUUGCUCACAUUGGAAGUCUCUGUGAUGCUCAGGAGAUGUUCUCUGUGUAUCUCUGAGCCAGGACCCACUACCUCGAACCAGAAGUACACUAGGUUGUUUUUCAGAGGCUUACUGAACAAGUGCUGAUAGUCAAAGUGAUAACCAAUGAUAUGUUUAGUCAACGAGCCAGUGAGGGGUAAGACCAUCUUCAGUAACUUUCACCUGACUCACACCAGGGAACUUUUGGGGUUACUGUUAAGAGGCUCUGACCCUUCCUGACCUUCAGUCUGUCUAACCACCCUAAUGGGGAGCCAACAACAGUGACUGGUCUUCCAGAGGAACCAUUUUCAAAUGGGAAAUCCUAAAUGGGCACUCAUUCAUGGCAAGAGUAGGUGCCCCAUUCUACCAGGAGGGACACUGAGAGUUCCAGGAAAAAUGCCCUGCAGACCCGCCUAGGAACAGGAGUUGUGGAUGCCUUUUCCUUUUACCUUUCUUUGUGUUGUGUGAAACUUUCAGCACUGUCUCUGUACCUGCUUAGCCAAAAAUAUUCUUCUGAAGAAAUAAUCAGAUCCUGCAGCCAAACCCAGGAUGGCUGUAAGUGGGUCUGGGUGUUGCCCGCAUGAAAUUUACUGACAGAAACUGUUUCACAACAGUACAGAAUAUUUUGAUUUACACAGAAUACCUAUCACUGAAGUUACUCUUAAACCUAAAUUAGAAGACUUUCUGUCCAUGUAUCGUAGCAUCAGCAGCAUUUUCCCUAACCUCUGCUUUCAGUACUACUGUGCUGUGUAAGAGCUUUGACACUACCUGGAGUUCUACAGAAUACCUCCAUACUGGGACACAAUAUAUCUUACCUUGCAGUAAGGUUUCUGACUCUGUUUAUAUUUUUACCUAAGAGUGAAAACACGUCCCACCUAUCCUUCUUAGUAUUUUCUCACCAAUAGAAAAUGGACCUUUCUGUCUGCUUGAGAAAUAUUUCUGUGCCUUGUAAAACACGUAGCAAGGAAAAUGAGAAUAUAUUCCACGAAUCUCCUAUGGAAAUACUAGGAAAUUCUCACAAGCUUCCACUGUUUUAAUUAUUGUCAGCUCUGCCUGAUUAAGGUCUGCUGCCAAACUCCAGAAACAAAGUCUUGCUCCCUUAGAGAAAGGCUUGAACUACUUCAGGUUUUUACUUGAGCUCUCAGCUGAAGUUUGCACUGAUUCCUUGAGCUUUAAUUCUUAGCAAGCAAUAUUCUUAGAAUGGAGCUGAUUUCCGUGGAACAGCAGAUUUUCUUCUCUUUAUUUCCACUCCUUACUAUUCUUUUAGAUUCUGCUUGCAGAAAGGCCAGCAGGGCUUUAAGAGCGCAAUAUGCAUGACUGCAUCUUUUCCUCCAACGCAUCAUCCCUAACAGUGGGAAAGAGUGGCUCUCCCCAAGUGUGCUCGGCGGAGCUUCCAGUUCCCUGGGAUCUUGGAAGGCCUGCCAUACAAGAGCAGCUCCAGCAUCUGCCACAGAAAGCGGGCUGAGCAGUAGCUGAGAGCUAAGAAGAAAUAGGCUUCCAGCACAGAGACUACAGCCUCUACUUCAGAGACUUUAAUUGCCCCUCCGAUGCUUCUUCAAAAUAGCAACAAACAUUUUAAAAUGGCACAUGAAAAGGAUGAACAGGGAUCAACUUUCUGCCUUCACUAUCAAUACAGGAAUAAGGGUGCAUCAGAUGAAGCUGGCGGUAGGCAAGUUCAAAGCAAACAGUAUAAUAAAUUGUAUUAUUUUAUAUGUACGUGGGUAAUAUACUUGUGACAUUCUUUGCCUUAAGAUAGUACAGAUAGUACAGAUAGCUCACGUGGAUCUAAGGAGGGGCUGCAGAAGAACGUGGAGGAGGGAUGUGGUGAAGGUCACUGAGCAGACAGAUCGCAUCAAGCCAGGGACACACCCGAGCUAAACACUGGGUACUGGCACCCAUGGGCAAUGUCAAGUGUGCUGGUCCUGGUCCUGCUGCUCACUUGGCUAGGAACUGGCCUAUGCCUGUAGCCAGAGGUGGGUUAAUGGACAGCCCAACCUCUCUUCCAUUCUAAAAUACAGUUGAUUUAUGGACCUCUGCUAGCCCAGUCUUACAGUAAUGAAUCAAUACUUUCAGGACCAUUCCCUCCUAAAAUUCAACCAGCAAGAGCCAACCCAAGUCAACAAUUUUGUAAUACGUGUUAGUGAAACGCCUCUACCUUACCUCUUUUUCUCUGCUUAAUCUUGCCCUUGCCUAAACCAAAAUUGAUCUCUUUAGAAACUUGCUGUUACCACUGUAAUUUUGACCAGAGAUUUUUCUUCUUCCUUACGCUUGCCUUCAGAAUCUCUCUGCUAUAGAAAGGAAAUCUUUCAGCCUAUCAAAAACAAUAACAACAACAACAACAACAAAACACUAAAACCAACCAAACAAAAAAGAAAACAAAACACUAGAAAAUUCAUAAGAUAGCUUGGUUUCCAACACAGUGAUUCGGGAGCAGGAAUUACAUUCUGAUCCAUGUUAAGCAAAUCAGAUGAAUCCACAGAUCUGCAAUGCCAAUCUGUAAGGCACAGUUCAAAACUGAGGAGGUCAGGAUCCCAGCCUUUGGACCUUGUCAGUAAUAAUUUUCUUCCUUUCCACCUGAGAAGUGGUCCUGGUGCUAGGAUUACGCUCCAGAGUCACGCAGGAAGGAAAUUCAAUGGGAAGCCUCUAUCUUUAGCAGAGCUUAAUGCCAUCAUUGCUUACAUUCAGUUCCCUGGUUCGUUUAAACUCUCUCCAACUGCCAGUCUAUGGGCCUGGGUGAGUGCAGCUGGAACUCAAGGUAGGGGAACAGGAGGGGAUGGAGGACCUGGGGCCCUCUGUGGCAUCCUCCCACGCUCUGCCUCCUGGCGCUGGUAAACCUGCACUUGAACAGCCAGUGCUUCACCUCAAAAAAAAAAAAAAAAAAAGCAAAAAGCUUCUCCUGUUUGGCUUUACUUUUAACACCUCAGGUGUUGAGCAAAUUAAAGCAAACCUCUCUGCCAGGGCUCUGUCUCUUUAACUUCGUGUGUACACCAGCAGGCACAGUAGGAACCCGUUCUGUUCUGAGCACACCAUAGCACAAGUGGCUGAUAAAUCAGAAAGGAGGGAAUCCACACUUUCUAUUGCUUCUGUGGCCUACUGGAAUGAGGAAUGUAAGUUUAAUGAGUUAUAUACGUAUACUUUAUUUUAUUUAAAUGUUUCUUUCUUUUUUUUUUUUUUUUAAUAAGACCACUUAAAACUAAAUACGGAAGUAGGGCAGCCUGCAGUAAGGCUACAUUUACUGUAGGUAUUUUAAAAUAACACAAUAAAAGUGCUACGCGACACAUUUUUUUUGACGCCAGAUUUUUAGAGCAAGUCAAACCACUGAAGGGCUGGGAGUCACUGCCGGAGCUCCUGGAACUACAACCCGCUGAACGCUGAAGCUCUUUUAAUAUACUCAUUUAUGUUCAAAAUGGAAAGCGCCACGGAGAGAUGAAAAAGCAGGCAAUCUCUUAUUUUGCUUUCUCAUCGAGCCCAUGAGUGAAGACUGCGAGAGGAUGAGACGUACCAGCUCUGAAGUCUUGAAGGUCGUGCUGACCAGAAACAAUCACAGCAGCUCACCAGCUAGCAGUGAUUAGUCCUGGCUGAAUAAAUCAGCUCGCAGUGCACCGUGUUCUGAUAAGUGUAUUCUUCUGCUUACACGUUAUGUACAUCUAUGGUUAUUUAAUUAAACUGAUAGAAAAUGAAGUGCCCUUUUGCUACAUUUUAAUUGAAUUCCGCUUUCCGUCUACAUGGAGUUCACAAAUCGGAACUGGAAGGCUUAAUCACGUAGUAAAGAAAACCCAUUAUGUUUUCUAUUGUAAAACAUAACAAUUAAGAGUCAGAGGUUUGCUUUACAGGAGAUUAAGUAAAAACUGUAUGGCUAGGGAAUAACAAGCCAGCUAACAAAAAGAAUCGUGUUUUGUGAGUGGCUAUAUUUAAUUGAAAAAGGGCCUCGAACACUGAAAUAAAAUAAUGCAAAUAUAAAACCAUACCAAAAUAGGUGGAAUAAGGUAGGGUCCUUCUCUUUUCUGUUUGGAGGGGUAGUUGAUAAGGAUCAUUUAACUCAGGGGCGCAAAGCGAUGCACCCAGGCAGCUGCUGCUCCUACUGGGGCAGCAGCACCCAUUGCCUCUGCCCCUGCCUCCAGGGUGCUGCAGCACUUACAGAGAGUAAAUGGAGGUGCUGGGACCUGGCCAGGGAGAAGGUAGAAGGUGACCUAAGGUUAGAUGACCCUGACAGUCAAGUGUGCUGCCUUGACAAAGCGCAGUGGCUUGACAAUUGCUCGAGGCUUGCAAAACAUUGCGUUAUCGUGUUCGUGCUGUAUCCACUGAUAGAGAUUGUUUUCCUUGUACGUGCUGGGUAUUUCUAACUCCGCCGAACCUACUGAUGUGUGAAAACAGAGAUAAGUUCCAACUGGAGGCCUCCAGCCUGAAAGUCUGAAACUUGGAGCGUCUGCGUUGUCUGAGUUAUUCCUUUGGGCCUGCGGCCUCUGUCUUUAAGUGAAGAGCCGAUCCAUGCCCGGCAUCUACGCUGCUCUUUGAAAUGCUUUUUUUAUUUUUUAUUCUUUGAAUGCUGUCUUUGUUAGAGCUGCAGAAGUUGCAGUGAAAGAAUAUCUCAGUUUUGCGCUCGAUGAAUGCCUUUGUAUUAAUUCUCUCCUUGCAUAGGUUUGAGCAGUAGGGCUGGUGGGUACAUUAACGACUUGCAGUGGGGCACUCCACGCUCACAGCUCAGUAUUGAAGGCAAAUGUAGAAGCUCAGCCAUUGACUACGUAUUUUUUACACUGGAAGAACUUAAAUUUUUUUGGUCUGUGCUGUAACAGAACUUCCUUUUGAAGCGCUGUCUGCCGUUACUGUUUCUUCCCCAUUCAGCAGAAGUUUUAGUGAUAAUGUAAACACGAGCCUCUUUCAGCUGAAGAUUUUGCUUUCCAUAAAAGAAAGUAUUCCUUUUUCUGCAAAGUGGCCUGGAACAAUCUUCUCUUCCUAUAUUUUUGCCUAUAUCUUAACAUUUGCUUAAGUAUCAAGAAGCUUCUCGGUGCAAGGGAGGAUGCAGGAAUACAUAGAAGGUAACAGGAUUUUUUUAAAGUAGAUUUGUAAAAUAAAAACAAGGAAGGGGGAAGCAGCAUACAGCGCACAGCAGUCAUGGGCUGCAGCGGUUAGGGAGGUGUGUGCCCGUGCUGAGGACGACUGCAGACUGUCAGGGUCAGGACAUGGUCACGUAUGACCUCAGGGGCACAGAGAGGCAGAACCUUUGAUUUGCAAGAGAAUGCGUGCGCUUUGAUUAAUUCAUUUGCACAGCAUUAGAAAGUAAAGAGGGUAACAGCCUGGCUGAAGGCUCCGGUCAUCAACUCAGCAUCUUCCAUGAAACUCCCCCAUCUCUGCCUCCAUUUUUGUGCCCCUUGCAUAUUUCCAGCAGCCUCUCCCUCCAUAUGGUUGACUUUCAUGCACGAGAAAAGGGCAGUUUUGUUGGUAAGUGUGCUGUCACACGACACAACCUGUCAUUAUUUUAAUUCCUGCUUUCAAAUGAAACGUCUGCCAGUCUGUAUGUUAAAGUCGUGUAUUUUCACCACUACAUUAACAAUACCUGAAUUUGACAUACGGCUUUUUCUCUGCAGAGCUCAACGUACUUUUAAGCCCUGAACGAGAUUUUGCUCCUUUUAAAACUCACAGAGCCCAGGUGGAAGUGGCUGUGGCAAGGUUAAACUGUUCGUGUCUUGUCACCCCAUGAUUAUACAGCUCCUCUCAUCUCUGUGUGCCCAGAAUCAUAGAGUCACAGAAUGGCUUGGGUUGGAAGGGGCCUCAAGGAACGUCCAGUUCCAGCCCCCUGCCAUGGGCAGGGUUACCAACCACUAAGUUAGGCACUACAGUCUAUUCAGUGCUCUGUGCUCGAUCUCCUACUGCUCCCCAGAACUUUCCCCAUUCCAACACAGGGGAAGGCUCGUGGCCUCCUUCCGCAGUUCCUUACCACACGUGGCCGUGGAGCAUCCUGCAUGCAUACUUUGUCUCUUAGGUCCAGUGAGGGGUAGGACAGCUUUAAUUGUCCUGAUCUUAAAAGUUUGGAGGCAGGGACAGAAUUAUGGCCCUAACCUGAACUUCCAUUCCAAACCACGAUCCAUCUCCUACCUUGGCACAGAUUUAACAUCAGCUGUAUGGUGUAACUCAAAAUCAUCUGCACUCAGGUGGUGGGGAGAAAGAGACAGCAAUGAUAUUUUUCAAUGUGCUAAUCGAUCCAGUUUGCUUAAGCUUAAGAAAUUAGGCAGAGGCACUUGAUUUCUUGAUUUCAUUCAUUUACAGGCCGGCUUUACCUGCACUGCUGAGCUACUGUGACAGUAUGGCUUAUGUGACUUGUGUCGAGCAGGAAGCUUUCAAAGCCACGUGCCAAAGGUAAGUCAGUUUAAUAACUUUCUUAUCCGUACGCAUCCUUGCAAAUAUUGUACGUCUGCAGGGGAACAUAGAGGGGAAUUGGAGGCUGGCUCUGUGGAUAAGGCACAGCCCCGGGAGCAGGGAGCCCUGAGAGCUUUGCUCCCAGCGCUCUCACUGUACCCAGGAGGUGCACAUGCUGCUCCAGCUUUAAAAUACUGCAACCCGAUCCUUCCUCCACGGCUCAGAGCCUGGGGGUGGGGAGGGAGGUGAAAGAAUAGCCCAGAUCCUCCUUCCCGUUUUGGGUCUGGUUUACUAUCUUGGGUGAAGAGAGCAUUAACUGUGCGUGUCGUUACGAGGGAGGACCCUUUGCUCGCCUUUGCUCUCACCUUUCACAGUCCUCGUGGCAUAGGCCAGGUUUAAUCAAGUCUGCCUUAGGAGCAAAUACACGUACACGGCGCAAUGGGCUUCCUCCUCAUUUUCAUUUUCCCUCGCUGCUAUGUAAAUCAUGGCUCUAAGCUCGCAAAGGGUUAUGAAACCAAAGGGGUUGCACCGAUGGGGAGCUCCUUCUGGUCAGUCCUCGGUGUUUGUCCCGCUGCUUAGCAUUGUAAAACUUCAACAAACCAAGCCUCAGAUCCAAAGAGACCGCCUGAUAUUUCCCUGAGCAACGCAGGAAGAAAAAAUACCGUCCAACGAGAAGUCAUUUACUAAGGAAACCUUUAUAACCACGGACAGACAACGUGCAAGUCAGAAGAGCGCUGUGCUGGAGUUUCACUUGCGGGUAGAGAUUUCAAGUUCUCCAGAUAGAGUAGCUCAUAAAUUCGACUUGGAAAAGCGACCAACAUUAAUAUUUAGCCAGGGGCUGUGACAGCCAAUCAGUACACUGCCAUACAGUGGGAUCUUUGUGAAAUUGAUUCUUUUAUAAGAAAGGAUGUUCACGCACGUAGCACAUUCAGCCAGAAACAAGGAUAUGAAGAGCCCUGAAGAAGUACAGUUGUUUUCAUAUCCUCUUUUGCCAGCUAAUGCUGCCUGCUUUUCUGCACACCUCUUUCUUAGUUCUUCGUGCAGUCUGAAGUGCCUCUUUCUCACCUGAUGGACUCCUGCAGCUCUCCUAACGGGCACCCAUCCUUUAUGUUUGAUAUAACCGUGGCUCUCACCUGGACUGAGAGUCCGCUUUCGGUCCGUGCCGGGUGUCCCCUUUGUACACAUUCUAAAGCAACGCCCCGGUUCACUAACAGCAUUUACACAUACGUGGUAUUGAGAACGUUAAGUGCACUUAGAGAAACCACUCGUCAAAGCCAUCGAUUAAGACUUUUUAUGAAGCACGGAUGCCAAGCUCGAAAACUGUUCUAUAGAGAUCCCCCUCAGUGCCAGCGGAAGGUGAGGCGGGACCCGGCAAUGGGGCUCAAGGGGAGGAACUGCUGAGAACGACACUUCUCGUUUCCAGAAGCGAGAGCUGAGUUCAUAUCCCUCCAGGAACGCGAUAGAAGGGCUGCACCAUCCCAGUCCCGCUGCUGGAAGGGAGGCACUUCUCCCUCCUUUCCCACUUUCCGUAAAACACCGCUUACUAUAAAAGGGCAGCUGGAGCCGCGCCGCUCCUUCUGUGCCUCGGGCUCCAUUUUUAAUACCUUCUUUCAGCCCUCACCUUCCCCAUCACGAAUAAGCGCCGCGCUUUUCCGCCCUCGACAGUUCGGUCGUCCGGAGGGGACACCUCGGAACGCGGACGGGCCGGCUGCGGGCUCCCAAAAAGCGGCAGCCGGACUCAAUCUGAGCCGCGUUCGUCCCGCACGGCGCUGCUCUCCGGCGCUGAGCAGAACGCGGG
ensembl:lncRNA